UCCUUAUUUUAUAAUUCAUUUCCGAUUAUUCCUGUUAUCUCCAUAAUUUUUUCCAUAACGAAACAACAUCAUGCACAUGCAUACGGACUAAUUUCCAAUUUUUAUACAAUUUUUCAUUAGUCUUAUUUCUAUUUUAUUUUUUAAAUGUAUCCUUUUUCCACUUUCUACGAGUAUUUAUAUUUCAGAAUACAAUAAUUAUAAGAAUUCACCCAAAAUUAAUGCUCCAAUAUUUACUAGCAGUUAUUAUUUUUAGUUAUAAAAUUUUUAAUGAUGCCAUGCAUUCCAGCGUGAGAUUUAAUUGUUAAUUAAUUAAAAGAAAAUUAGCCAUUGAAUUACAGAAGAAAAUUAACCUUUAUAAUUUUGCAGUCCUGUCGCAGCAGCAGCCACUAAGCAUUCCGCUAGAAAUAUAAUUCUACAUUAUUUUCUACGGGCUAAAUAUAAAUUACAAAUCCAGACUCACCAAGUUGAAAUUAUCCUGAUAAUUAUUUAAUCCCUCAAGGAAAAUAACGGAUUAUUUCCAAAUAUUCAAAGAUUUAACAGCAGCACCACUUCCGUCGUCAGAACUGGAUGGAAUCGCUUGCAAAUUUUGCUCAAAAACAUGAAUGAUGGGCAAAACUCGGCGAUCAGUGGAAAAUAUCGCACGCUGAUAAGCGCGUCAGAACACGCACGCCUGGACAAAGGCCAGCUGGGACUCCGCCUCCUCCGCCGCGCAAUUGGCUACCGCACAAUCAGGAAAUUUCUCGUACUCGAUGCAGCGGGAUAUUCCGCGCCGGCGAUUGGUCACUUGGCCGCGAUUAGCGCCGUGCACGUACAAAAAUAGCCAACGCUGUUCAACUUUUAAAAUGUUACGUCGUGCGAUCUUAUCAAGUGGCGUAGAAACAAUAUUAUCAGAUCUAUCAGACGGGUUGAUUAUGCCUGAAUCAGCACUUUAAGAAUGCUUGACGGGUUUAUCAAUUAUUAUUCGAUGCGCCGACCUUUGUACAAGUUGGACUCGCGUACACUUGUCAUGACGGAGCGGAAACAAACACACCGAUUACUGCGGAUAUCAGUGUAGCGUGGAAGGCGGCUUAAUUCAUUUGGAAAAAUAUUUAUUCAGCUCAUUCUUCGUAAAUCGAAUCUAAAAGGACGGAAGUUUUCAGGUUUACUCGAGAAGGACACCGCUGAGGCGUUGACAGUAAAUAUAUUUAGUUCUGAUGAAUAUUUCCCACGAUUUAUUGUUGUUGAAUUUCUUUUGCCGGACAUGCACUAGGACUAGGUUAAAGAGCGCUGCUACGAAGGUGUGGCUGUCUGGGAAAUCCGGGAAAGUACAUACAGUACACAACAUCGUGCUGGUACUUAAUAUUAUGGGUGGCGGUGUAAAUCCAACCUUUAAUAUGCCGGCUAAAAUUACUGUUAUAAAAACGCGGCGCAUGCACUGCUGUGAAAUACAGUGGUUGUCAAGCCGGCUGAAUAAAAUCAAGUAUACCGUAUACGUACGAAUAAUAUAGAGGCCAAUACGAGUGUCGUAUUAAUUUAAUUAAUUCUAAGGAUUUAAUUCGUACUCGACGAAUCUCUGGUGCACCGGAAACGGAAUGUAUCUGUUUGUCCACAGAAUUAGCA